rnacentral:rRNA from 1 species
UACGAAGGGGGCUAGCGUUGCUCGGAAUUACUGGGCGUAAAGGGCGCGUAGGCGGACAGUUUAGUCAGAGGUGAAAGCCCAGGGCUCAACCUUGGAAUUGCCUUUGAUACUGGCUGUCUUGAGUUCGGGAGAGGUGAGUGGAAUGCCGAGUGUAGAGGUGAAAUUCGUAGAUAUUCGGCGGAACACCAGUGGCGAAGGCGACUCACUGGCCCGAUACUGACGCUCAUGCACGAAAGCGUGGGGAGCAAACAGG